AUUAAUGGUCACAUAUAUGGAAAAGGGUGGCUGGCCAUGUGCUAUUUUAGAGUGGUGUGAACCCAAUUUUAUAAAAUUCAAAUCCCAUUUAAUUAAGAAGUCAAGUGGGCAAGUGGGUAGAAAAGCACUCAAGUGUUUUGUGAUAUUUUGAAGAGUUGUGUGAGCCAUUCUAACCCCCAAAUCCGACCACUCUCCCUCCCUCAUUCACUCUCAUCUGAUUUUUGAAGACUCUCUCAAGUGUUCUCUCCAUUUUCAACCCCAAGAACACCAAAGAAACUUGGAAGCUAAGUCUUGGUCUAGGAAGGGUUUUCCCUAAGGGUUUUUGAAAGGUUUUGGAGGAGCCAAAGAUAAUAGGAAGGUCCAAACCUUAAGCAAGAACACCAAAGAGUAUUGGCUAAGCGUAACUGGACUGAACGUUGGAGGGUGAAAACUUGCUGAGCGCAAAGGACUCCAAGUAAGAACAAGGGCAAGGCAGAGCAGUGAGCGUUGGAGUCUUCCUUGCAAAUGUACAUGUGGACCGACCUUUUGGGAAGCCUUUUUAUUUUUGGAAAUGUUGUGUAAUUUUCCUAAACUAGGCUCACUCUAAUCUUUAUAAAACAUGUUUGUAACUAAAUGUUAAGUAUGGCCAUACGACUUUUUAAAAAAGUUUUUUAUCUAUGGGUUUUUGAGACAUUUUGUUAAAUGAAAACAUUUAUAUUUCCGCAUUGUCGA